CACAUGCAAGUCGAACGAUGAAGGAGGAGCUUGCUCCUCUGGAUUAGUGGCGAACGGGUGAGUAACACGUGAGCAAUCUGCCCUUGACUCUGGGAUAAGCGCUGGAAACGGCGUCUAAUACCGGAUACGACCCUCGGAGGCAUCUCCUGUGGGUGGAAAGAACUUCGGUCAAGGAUGAGCUCGCGGCCUAUCAGCUUGUUGGUGAGGUAAUGGCUCACCAAGGCGACGACGGGUAGCCGGCCUGAGAGGGUGACCGGCCACACUGGGACUGAGACACGGCCCAGACUCCUACGGGAGGCAGCAGUGGGGAAUAUUGCACAAUGGGCGCAAGCCUGAUGCAGCAACGCCGCGUGAGGGACGACGGCCUUCGGGUUGUAAACCUCUUUUAGCAGGGAAGAAGCGAGAGUGACGGUACCUGCAGAAAAAGCACCGGCUAACUACGUGCCAGCAGCCGCGGUAAUACGUAGGGUGCAAGCGUUGUCCGGAAUUAUUGGGCGUAAAGAGCUCGUAGGCGGUCUGUCGCG
rnacentral:rRNA from 1 species